rnacentral:piRNA from 1 species
UUACAUUGAUGCGUCUUAUUCAACUACU